AAGACACCGUCAGCCACAGCCCUGAAAGGAGGGUGACAACGAGGACCCAGCCCGCAGAGCCAUGGCAGAGACAAAGUUCCGAGGUGACACACUGCCCGAGGAUGCUGGGACAGGUACCUGUUAGAGGUAAACCUGUGAAUCCCUCAUUUCCUUUUCAGGGUCAUUAGUCUGGCCCUGCCUUAGCCUCUGGGCCCCAGACCCAUAAAGGCGGCCGCUGACCUGGGACCAGGAAGGUGCUCCUUCCCAGUUAACACGAGGGCUUCUUGAGUGCUACCCUUGCAGCGAAAGACAGCGCCAUGGCCACCCUGGAUUCUCUCCUCAUGCUCACCUCCCUCAGCCCACACCCCCAGGGCCUUCCUGGAGCCCCCGCCUCACCUCCUACAACCACGCUGAUCUUGUUCUCACCGCACCUGUUCUCGGCACCCACAACAGGGCACCCUUGAGACCAGAACCUCUGCUGCUCACCUAGAACCCCGUCCAAGACCCAGUUGCCUUGCACACCUUUUGUACCUAUUCUUGGAGGAGUGAAGUGUGGCAACCGUCGGUGUGAUAAGGAGGAAAAAUUGAUUUUAGAACAUCAAGAAAUUUAAUUUCUUUGAAAUACAUAUGUGGGGGGGUGGGGGAGGGUUAGGCGGGAGAACCUCUGUGUAAGUGAAUACUUUAGUAAAUGGAUAAUUUAUGAGGAUAUCUGGUGUCUAGGGACAAAAUUUGCAUAUAAAGUGGUUUUCUAAAUUGUCCUAAAAUAGCUUCGCGCUUAAAGUAUUUCCCCUGCUUAUGUUGUUGGAUUACUUUCUACUAGCAAAGGUAGGCUCUAGGCCUGUGAGCCAGAGUCAGUUCAAAUUCUGAUCUAGAGGCAUUUCAAAAACAAAUGAGGUUUCUACCACGUUGAAGAAAAACCAGGUUGCAUUUUUCUUUGGAUUUGGUGCCAAACCGGGCAGGAUAACGCCUUUCUCUCCGUCCACCACUUCUUCCUGAUUCUGGGUGCGUUGAGAGCAUUUUGUUUUUCUGUUUAAUCCUCAUCUGUUUCACUUCGUCUUCCCUUGGACUAAUAUGGAAUAUUUCUCAAGGGCCAGAGAUUCGAGGGAAAAACUCCAAACGCUUUAAUCGCCUCCAUGUACCUUGUGGCCUCACCCACCACGGUCUGUAAGUGUUUGUUUACUGGAUGCGAGGACAGGACAAACUUUCUGCUAGCAUUUUUGACAAGUUUCCAGCUGGUCUCUAAUUUAGAAACUAGGCAUUUCUGUCCACCCUGUUCCCGAUAUUUGUGAUAUAUUCCCUACUCCGUAAAGAAUGAGGACGGCAAAACUUUCGAGUCUCAAAACCCCUCCCAGGCAAAGAAGUAGGUUGACAUUUUUAAAAGCUAAACACUAGAAAAAGCAAAACACAAACAAAAACGGUCCAAAAUAACCCCCCCCACACACACACACCCUGAAAUUUUUUUCAACGCAGAUUGUAAGUGUUCCUUAAAAGGGCCAUUUUCAGGGGAAAAACACGGCAAGGUCUAUCUGCAAAGAACUUAUGCCAAAUAGAUGCCGGGGCAGGGCUGGUGAAAGCAUGUUGCCUCGGGUGGCAGGUGCUGGCUGCAAGGUGAGGCUUCCUGCCCGCAGCAGAAUCCCACCUGGAGCAAAAGCGGACCACCUCCUUUCCUGCACUGCCCAACACAUGGGCAUCUCAUUCCCCUGCUUAAAGUCUCAGUCUCCUAAGUGUACAGACUCAAUCUUUGUUUCCUGGGCUCUGACCCGGGCCUGCCCUUCCCUGCCUCCUGCCCCGGAGUCCCAGCCUCUGCUUCUCCCUGCCGUCUCUCUGCAUAAAUGCUAGUUCUUCCUUUGGAAACGGGACCCCAAGGCUCUUCAGUUGGCUUCCUAACUACUAGUUCCCUUCUUCCCUUCCCCUUCCUCCCUUUUCCUCCAUAAAAUAUUUUAAGGAAUAGAUUCUCUGUUCCUUGACGAUUUGAUAAAAAUGGCCUUAGAACAGUCUCCGUGUUAUCUACAGCUCUAUCCAGCCAUCAUUUAAAAGAGUAUUUUUCCCCUUUUUUUCUGUUUUCCUUGGUAAUAAAAGUUCCUCCAGUUUUUUUGGGAUAUUAUCUUUUUGUCUGUCCUGUAUGUUUCAAAGAGUUUUCCUCAUUUGUCCAUCCAGCAUCAAUUGUGGUUAUGGUGCUUUUUCACAUAGAAGAAUUUUUGAAUUUAUGUCUUGGUUUAUAUGUGUUCAUUUUUAAGUGUUUAUAUAUUCUCUAGUACUAUUUGUUUAUAUAUUUGUCUUGUAAUAUUUUUUCUUUUACUUAAAGACUACAAAUGUAUUUUUUCUUUUUUCUUUUUUCAAUUUCUAAUAGAAUUUUAAAGGUUAGACUCCAUUUACCUUUGUUACAAAAUGUUGGCUAUAUUCCCUGUGUUGUACAAUAUGUACUUGCAUUAUAUAAACAUCUAGUAUAGCAAAGAUUUUAAUUUUUUUUAACUUGUUUUGGAAACCUGGGAUCUCCAAUAGGUUUUCCCAAGUGUGUUGCCAGUGUUCCAACAGUAAUUAUGAACUUUUUCUCCAGGAAUUUAAAAAACCAGUUUAUUCUUUUCUAAAUUCUAGUUAUGCUUGACUCUGUAUCUAUCUGAAUUCAUAGAUCUGUCCCACUACCCUAAUAUUUUGCUAGCAGGGGUUUAACUACCCUUUCCUCUGUCUCACAUGCCACCCUCUUCUGUGGGACCUAUUAUGGGCCACUAUUUAUUCUUCUGCCAAUUUCAUGUCACUAGUCUUGAGGACACCAACUGUUACCCUUAUUAGCUGCUCAAUCAGUAUUUUUGGAAUAAGGAAAUAAAGGAAGUAUUUGAGGCU
rnacentral:lncRNA from 1 species